rnacentral:rRNA from 1 species
UACGUAGGGUGCAAGCGUUGAUCGGAAUUACUGGGCGUAAAGCGUGCGUAGGCGGUUUGUUAAGUCAGAUGUGAAAGCCCCGGGCUUAACCUGGGAACUGCGUUUGAAACUGGGAGACUUGAGUGUGGCAGAGGGGGGUGGAAUUCCACGUGUAGCAGUGAAAUGCGUAGAUAUGUGGAGGAACACCGAUGGCGAAGGCAGCCCCCUGAGUUACCACUGACGCUCAUGCACGAAAGCGUGGGGAGCAAACAGG